rnacentral:lncRNA from 1 species
AUGCGUCUACUUAACAUAUUUACCGUUUUACCCUUAACCUAAUUCACUAAUUACCAAAAAUACCUAACCUAAUAGACGCAGACACAGCCUUCAACUCUCCCAUAGACUUGUGUCUUCUCUUCUCCAGCUCUCUCUCGAAUCUCGAUCUCGAACCCAGCUCGAACCCAACUCUCUCUUGAACCCAGCUCUUGAUCUCGAACCCAACUCUCGCUCUCUC